rnacentral:rRNA from 1 species
UACGUAGGCAGCAAGCGUUGUUCGGAAUUACUGGGCGUAAAGAGUGUGUAGGCGGUGCUCUAAGUCUGUUGUGAAAUCUCCCGGCUUAACCGGGAGGGUGCGGCGGAAACUGGAGUGCUUGGAGGGUGGGAGAGGUAAGCGGAAUUCCUGGUGUAGCGGUGAAAUGCGUAGAUAUCAGGAGGAACACCUGUGGUGUAGACAGCUUACUGGACCACUUCUGACGCUGAGACACGAAAGCGUGGGUAGCAAACAGG